AGAGCCUCCUUCUCUACCGUCCUUUUCUGUCAAUCCACCUCAUGUUGAUGUCUGUUUAGACGCAGUAACUAUGGAUAGUGACUCAGAUACUACAUGUUCAGAUGAUGAGCUUGGGGAUUUGGAAUAUUGGAGGGACGUUGAAUCGGAUAGAUCUAGUGAGGCGUGUAGUGAAAAUGAAAGCCAAGUGGAUGAUACACCAGAAAAACGAAAAACCCUUGCUCUAUCUGUAUGGUUGAUGGGGUUCUUACUGACUCUGCAAGCUAGAUUUUAUCUCCCAGAUAAAUCUGUUGAUCUUUUGAUAAAGUUUCUGUCAGCUUUUCUAGUUAUAUUGGCUCAAUUCUCCCCACCACUACAGGAUCUCUCUAAAGAUUUCCCGUGUUCGCUGUAUUUGUUACGCAAACGAGUUAAGGCAUUAGCCAUUUCAUGAAGCUUGUUGUGUGUGUAAGUUGUUGUAGUGUUUACGAUAAAAAGGACUGUGUAUAUACUGAAGGAACAAAGACUCUUAGCCGACGCUGUUCUCAUGUAAAGUUUCCGAAUCAUCCUCACCAACGAAUCAUCCUCACCAACGAAGACGAGAACCAUGUGGAACCCUGUUAUUAAAGACAGUUCAAUGCAUAAAGUUACUUUAUCCGUGUAAGAUUUAUUGGAAAGUCUUCAGACCCUACUUCAGCGUCCGGAAUUUCAUCAACAUUGUCAGGUGUGGCGUAGUAGGUUGUAGGUUAUCAUCAAAUAAUCUAGAGGAUGUAUACUGUGGACGGAUUUGGAAAAAAUUCCAGCAGUCGUCUUUCUUUGGCUCCUUAUUUUCAUUUGCCUUUAUUCUUAAUAUUGACUGGUUUCAACCGUAUAAACAUACACAAUUGUCUGUUGGUGCUAUUUACUUAACAGUACUUAGUCUACCACGUUUUCUACGCUACAAACGGGAAAAUGUUAUCCUUAUUGGGAUAAUUCCUGGACCACGUUCCUGGACCACGUGAACCUGAGGAUGAAUGAACUUUUAAAAUGACGGUUUCUAUGUCAACAGGGACAUCAAACCGUACGAGGUGCCCUUUUGUGUGUUGCUUGUGACAUACCCGCAGGACGUAAGACUUGUGGGUUUCUUGGACAUAAUGCAAAUUUAGGAUGUUCAAAAUGUCAGAAGGUCUUCCCAGGCGAUAUUACCAACAAAAAUUACUCAGGAUUUAACCGCUCAGAAUGGGAAGCAGCGUAGUAAUAAAGACCACCGAGAUAGUAUUAAAAAGAUUAACAAGUGUAAGACCAAAUCUGACAAAGGUAAAGCAGAAAGUUUGUAUGGCUGCAGGUACUCUGCUCUACUUGAUUUGCCUUACUUCGAUGCCCCUCGAAUGUUGUCCCAUGCACAAUCUCUUUCUUGGGACAUGUAAACGUAUGAUAUCUAUUUGGAUGGAUCGAUCAGAUGGAUCGAUCAGAACUUUAUUGCUAAAAACCAUUAUCGAAAGAUUCAAGAAGUUAUUGAUAGCAUUAGUGUUCCAUCGGACAUAGGUCGCAUUCCUUACAAAAUAGCAUCUGGUUUCUCAGGCUUUAAAGCUGAUCAAUUUAAACUUUGGGCCACUGUUUACUCCAUUCCUGCAAUGUAUUGCCGACUGAGCAUCUAGAAUGCUGGCGGCACUUCGUCUUAGCGUGUCGCAUCUUUUGUAAACAAACAUUAUCUAUCACAAAUGUUAGCAUUGCAGAUGCCUUACUCAUCCGAUUCUGUAAGAAGGUGGAACAUCUGUAUGGCAAAAACUCUAUUACACCUAAUAUGCACCUGCAUGGUCAUUUGAAGUCUUAGAUUAUGGACCAGCACAAGAGUUUUGGCUUUUCUCGUUUGAGCGUUACAAUGGUAUGCUAGGGAAACAGCCUUCAAACAGCAAAUCAAUCGAGCCGCAACUGAUAAAUCGUUUUCUUGCAGACAAUUGUGCUUAUUCAUUUGAAUAUCCUGCUGAGUAUAAAAAAGAGUUGGCUUCUAUAGUAAUCAAAGAGAGACUAUCUGGUUCUGUCAGUGACACACUAACUCCAGAUUUGUUUAAACUACCUUUGAAAUAUAAGAAAGGUGUGUUAGAUUCUGAUUGUAUAGAAGCACUACAAACAUUGUUAUGCAAGAUACAUCCUUCAACGACACACUGUGAAGUUAACUCUGUUUACGAAAAAUAUUCUUCCCUUACUCUUCACGGAAAGGUUUUCGAUUCAGUAGGAACUAAAAGUAGUAGGGUACACUAUGUGAUUCAGGCAAAAUGGGUCGAAGAAUUAUAUGGUAAGCCUCCAACCCCACUUCCUGUUGACCAUCAUCCUUUGUCCAAUCAUCGUCCAAUUGUAGUCCAUCACUAUCUGAAAGUAUUUUACUCUAUUGAUAAUACUCCAGAUCUUUGUAACAAACUUUUUGCAUAUGUUUCGUGGCUGUUUCCACAUCCAGAAAGACAUGCCUAUGGAAAACCUGCUGAAUUAUGGUGCAAUCAACUAUACGAAUCUUUCGGGUCACAUUCGUUCAUUCCACUUGAGGGCCUGGUGUGUAGAUGUGCUCAUGUUAUUGUAGAACAUAACAGUGAACACUUAUCCCUUAUUGUUCCUCUUGUAGAAUAGAGCACCAACUGUAAAAGAACAAUUAUCACUGAGCUGCAUGCAUAAUUAUGUAUAUAUAAUAGACUUAUGCAUGUUGUUUAAUUAUAUUUGAGUGGCAUGUAAUUUUAUAGUAUAUAGCCCAAUACAUACAAUUCAAGCUAGCUAGAGAUCUAGAGCAAUCUCUGGUCAGCUUUUCUUGAGCUGCAUAGAUGUUUUAAGUAUUUUUCCAGCUCUGCUUUCUUCAUUGUAAAUAAUAAGAUCUUUCCAUACAUGUUGAACAGAAUACAUUUUUCUUUUAGCUUCCGUGAUUACCAAUUUUUGUCUUUCUACUUCUUUCUCCAAGCCGAUAGCAUAUCUGGUGGUGUCGAUUAACUUCUUUUGAAGUCGUUGACAGUUUUCACUAACUCCAGACCCAGUCUCGUGUUCAAUACUGCAAUUAUCCGUCUUUUCAGCUAACACUUCAUGAUCACUUUCAAUUGGGAUCACUUUCAAUUGGGACUUCAUUGCCAUAGCAAUAUACUAGCGGUGACGAUGGAGGGGAUCCUGGGCUUCGUGGGCUUCCAAAUGUUUCGUCACUACAUGUACUUGAAACUGAAAGACUAUCAGUGAUUGUAUCCGGCAUAGUAUACACAGCAUUGAUUUCGGUUCCUGCAGGAUUUGUGAUUCAUUGCUAGCUAUAGAUAUUGACGGUAGCACUACCUGGACGCCGAGUUGCGGAACAUAUAAAGGUUCAUUCUUGGAGUCAACAGGUGACAGGUGAGGGUCUAUAUAGAUCUAACUCUCUUAAGCUGAAUUUUCAACAUAUUUUGUCUUUUCCUGUGCUUUCUUUUCGACACCAGUGUCCUGUUUCUGCCCAUUGCAUUGCCGCGCUGUAGUAAUAAUUAUAUCGGUUAUGGCUAGGACCAUAGAUAUGCUAGGACUGGACUACGCAGAGGCAGAGAUACUUUCACGUGAGCCACAGCUGUGCAAUGCUGUGCCACGUUUUAGACUAGACGUCGAGUCGAGUGGAUAUCCAUGGGGCUAGGCUGGAGAGGAUGGUCAGGCUUCUACAGAUAAGUGUAGACCAAUAUUGCUCUCUCCCCAUAUGUGUCAGUUACACUGGCUUUAGGGGUGUGUGGUGUGUAUAGCUAGCUGUUUUCUGUCCCGCCUUUAGCCAAUCAACUGUAUAGGGUAUUUGUUUUCUGUUCCCAUGUGUCAGUUACACUGGCUUAGGCCAGUCGACUUAGGCAGUGGGUGUGUGUGUAAAGCCUUGCUUGCUGUUUCCCGCCUUUAACCUGUCAACUUAGAUGUGUUUGUAUAGCCUUACCUGUUGCUCUCUGUUCCCAUGUGUCAGUUACACUGGCUUAGGCCAGUCGACUUAGGCAGUGGGGUGUGUGUGUAAAGCCUUGCUUGCUGUUUCCCGCCUUUAGCCUGUCAACUUAGAUGUGUUUGUAUAGCCUUACCUGUUGCCAGUCGACUUCGGCAGUGGGGUGUGUGUGUAAAGCUGUUUCCCGCCUUUAGCCUGUCAACUUAGAUGUGUUUGUAUAUGUUCCCAUGUGUCAGUUACACUGGCUUAGGCCAGUCGACUUAGGCAGUGGGGUGUGUGUGUAAAGCCUUGCUUGCUGUCAACUUAGGUGUGUGUAUAGCCCUACCUGUUGCUCUCUGUUCCCAGAUGGGUGUGUGUAUAGCUUUGCUUGCAGCCAUGCUACGUAAGCGUGUGUGUAUGAUUAUAUAGCCUUACCUGUUACUCAUGUGUCAGUUACACUGGUUUUAGCCUGUCAACUUGACAGCGGGGUAUGUGUGUAAAGUAGCCACACUGCUGGACUCAUGUUGACUUGGAACAACUGAAAGCUAACUAUACUACUGGCUCAUGUAGCUACCAUGCAUGGUAAAACAUAAGGAGGCGGAAAAAGGGCGCCCAAUAAUUGAAGCAGAGCAUCUGAGAUUAUAGAGUAAUAAUAUUAAUAUUAUUUGUUAUUAUGACAUCAUUAAUUUUCAGAUUUCUAGGGGAGAAUAAUCCCAGGGCGCUCCCCUCUCUGACCCUGGACUAGUCUGUGUGUCUAUGUAGAUUGCUACAGCUGCUCAAGAAUCAAUGAAGUGCAAAUAUACCGGAUUAAUGCUGCAGAAUACUUGUACGCUUGGUUCCAGCUUUAUUUUUGAUUGUGUUUUUUUUUUUGAAAGUUGAAGGAUAUACUCCCAUAACGGGCCCUCCCACUAGAGCUCUAUAUAAAGGACACUAGCUAUGACCAUCUAAGUCCUUGAUGGCGGGACAAGCUUGGUGUUCCCCCGGUCCCAGAGCCAACUGACUAGCCUCGAUCCCAGGCCGCACUUCCUGGAAGGAGGCUACCGACCACCUUACAGACAUACAGGAAACCACACCCACAUUUUAUCCACACCCACAUUUUAUGUCCGUACUGUUGUCAUACUCGCUUACUGCUGCAUGCAAUGAAUGUUUGAUUUCAGCAAGUUAUAAGUACAGCUUCUUGAAAAAAGACGACAAAAAUAUAGACAGUGCAUGAACAUACUAUAGUUAUCUAGUUACAUUCUUAUGAUGUGAAAAUCAAGCUUAGUCAAGCAUAAUUAAAGCAUAAUUAUGAUAGGCUGAUUCUUAAAAAGGAUUUUAUCUCACCGCUGGCCGAGCAUUUAAAAUGAUAAAAACGGGUGGGCGUAAUAACCGUGGUUGUUAUGGCAACACAUGUUGCACCAUUUUAUUCCUUGUUUAUAUGGGCAUUUUAUUGGUAUAUGGCAUUUUAUUGCAGAAUUUACAGACAUUUCACGGUCUGAGUAUGUAACUCUGGAGCUUCAAUUGUGCUUUGUACAUUCCCCAACUUCUGCUUUGCUUCUUCUGCUGUUAGGUAGAAAGCAGGAUCAUAAACAGCUGAAACUAGAACUGACCAUGUCCGGGUCAUGCCAAAUCUUGAAAUAACGUGUGGUAGAAAAUCUUCUUAGAUGAGCCUGAUAUACGUGUGUACGUAUGUAUAGUUAUCACGUAUGUAUAGUUUUAAUUAUAGAGUAGCUAAUAAUACUAUGUUCAAUUAGGGAUUAUAAUCAAUCAAUAACGUACAAUGCUUGCAGUGUAUCCAUGCAUGAUAUUGUAUAGUAAAACUUCUUGUACCUGUAGUUCCUCUGCUUGAGGCAGUAGUCUCUACAGCAUUGUGAGUUCCUCUCUCAAUGUUUCUCUCUCAAUGUGUCUGUUGGACCCAUAUGCACCCAUAUGCUCAUGUCUUUCAAGUAACUUGGUUCUGAUUUCGAAAUUUUUCUGGCAUGGGCUGUGGUCAGAGGAGGUAAGCCAAUGUCAACAUCACGUGGGCUUAUGUUUUACAUCCUCGCGCCCCAGACGAAAUGACGAAAUGGCUUGAAAGCAGAGAUCCACGAAAACUUUGACCUUAAAAUAUAAAUUAGCCUCAACAAUAGCCGCGGUUUAUUUGUGCCAAAUGUUUGAGCCACAAAAGCUAGGCAGUACUAGCUGUACUGUGUCAAUAUGCAGCGAACAAGGGGAUCUCCUACUGGACUGACCCCUUCACAGCUACCUAAAAGGCGUGUGCAGCGUUCUGAUAAUGCUAGAAGACGCAGGCUGUUUGAUCCAGGCUGUUUGAUCCAGAGACUGUACCAACCCUGCCUGAACCAUUGCCUGAACCAGUACCUGAAUCAUCUGCUUUCUCACAACACAAAGUUGUCAAGAAUCCAUUGUGUUCUCAUUUGUAUCCUCCAACCAGUGGGUGGUCUUUAACAGAAGAUAAAGCACUAACAGAAUUUAUUGGUGACCAUCAAAAAAGAGCACACUUAAAGCUGGAACCAAGCGUACAAGUGGUGCCUGUCGUACCCGAGUGACAAAGUCACUGACUGUGACCUUUCAAAAACCGUCUAUGGCCAAGAAAUACUUUACAGAUGGGGUAGCAGAUCAGCUCCCUAUAGGGCACGUAUACUAAUGUAGUGACCAUUGACACCUUGAGUGAGAUGGACCAAACCCUACUUCUUGUUCCAAGUUUGGUACCAAGCGAUUACAUACAAUAUUCAGCCCAGGGAAUGCAGCAGCUGAGUGACACAGGCAGGACCAACUUUUUUUGUACAACCGAGGUCAGAUGGAGAAGAUUCUGUUUUUCCAACAAAGCAACUGAUUACUGGCCUGUUUAAAUAUACUGUCAACUUCUUCAACACUACUCAUAAAACUCAGGUUGCCUGCCCAGCAGAGUAUCGACUAUGGUUGGAGUCAAUGUAUACACUCUUUGGAAAGAAGUGGUUGAACAUGCAUUCUGGUCCUAUGUGGAAGGUGGAAACAACGAACGUGAAAGUGAAAGGACCUGCUUCAAUUCCCAGGAAGCAAGUGAUUGAAGAUGAUGUUGUCAUGAGCAUGCUCAUUCGCAUAAUUAUGUAUUGAAUAUAUAGCUUCUUUCACUGUGGAAGCUGGUGUUCAGGUAUAUUAUAAAGGUCUACGUUUGUUAAUGUUUUAGGGAUCGGUACUUGAUGAAGCGUGCAAGGUUCUACCAAAAUCAGAUGGGUGUAGUUCCUGGUUUAACGGAGUCAAUGAGAGGUGGAGACGUAGACCUUGAAAAUGGCGAACUAGCUAAACGUACAAGGAAUACCGUACCCUCGCGAAAAUAAGCCCAUCUUGAAUAAACGCCCAUCCCCUCUUUUGCUUCGAAGUUCUUGCACGAGGGUAUUUUCACUCGAUUAUAAGCCCACCCAGAAUAAGAAGUUGAGCAUGCGCAGUAGCUGAAUGCCACAUGUUCACUAUUAAUUUUAGUGAAGAAAGUAAGUUUUAGGUAGUAGCUAGUAAGACUAUACUCCUUGCUGGACCAAGAUCAGACAUUAUAACUUUCUCUGUAUGGAUCUGUUUGCCCCCUGAAGAUGUAUAUGCAGGGAACAAGUAGUCCUAUAUGCUGAGAAAGGAAAACACAAGUCCAAGAAAGUUAUCACACAGGCUAAUUUUGCAGGUUACCUUGCCUUGGUUUUCUGAAACAAAGUACCUGAUAGCUGCUCUGUAGGAGUAUGACCUACCAUCCUUCGAGAAGUUUCUGCUACAUCUAACAUCAACGAAUAGAGCCAGAGUCCACUUCUUAUGUUCAUUCUCUUGUCAUGCUUUAAUCAUACUCAUGCAUUAGUUUAUAACAUUGUUGUUGUAUAAAAUGUUCAUACUAUGUAUUAAAAUGAAAAUACAAUAAAUUAAUAAAGAAUUGGCAUAGAGCAAAGUGUAAACCUCGAUUUGAGGCAGGGGGUGGGCGUAAGUUCGAAUGAAAACUCGCCGUUCGCGAUUAAACGCCCAGUCCCCUAAUAAGCCUAGACUUCUUGCAGAAUAGGGUGGGCGUAUUUUCGCGAGGGUACGGUACUGCAAAACGGUUGUGUCGACAGCGUAGCCUCACUGUGGUAGACUUGGGCAUCAUCAAGAAGGAAUGGUUCAAAGCAAACACUUGUAAAUCAUUAUUUCUUUUGAAGUUAUGAAGAAGUCGAACGACAAACUUCAGGAGAAGCUCUCCUCUGGAAAGAAGACAAGCGAUAAAGAUCUCUUUUCGCUUAGCUGGACAGUCGAUGAGCUGAGUAGGCUGAACCGUGAUGGUCGUGACAUGUAUGUUGAGUUGCUGUCUGAUUUGCUCAAAGACAAAACAACUGAUGUCAUUCAAAGAAACAUGGCACGCAGACUCUCUACCCUCUACCAAGUGCAUCUCAAGACGUGGCUGCGUCUCACGUCUUGGUGACGCUUUACCCAUAAGUUGCAUUCCCUACAAAGGCUCGCACCCACAUCAACGGUGUCAUCGAACAGAGGAAGGCUGCAAUGGGGCAUUCAGAGUCAAGGGGUUCACACGUCCUGUGUCAGUUCUGAAGCUGAGGUCUGAUGCACGUAACAAGUUUUCAUCGUAUCUACAAUGCUCACGCCCCAAAAUGCUUACAUCCAACUCCUUGUGUCUCCCCUCUCCUCCUGUGUGAAAUUCAUUCGUGGAGACAUUGUGGAGCUAGUGGGGAUGAUGUUUCUAGUGGGGAUGAUGUUAUAGAUCGAUUGAGGAAAGAAUGGUUGAAACCAAACUAAGAUCGAGGCACAACUUGAGUUUCAGUAUCAGGAACGGAACUCACAUGUGGCCAUGAGAGGGCUCAUGUAUUAAAGGUAUAUAUAUUGAUUAUUUCCGUAUCUGGAUUUUUUUCCAGAGAUUUGCAACUUCCACUCGUAUAAGGAGGCACUAGAAGAUCCUGAGUCAGGUAUCCGUGAGAGAUGCCGAGAGGUUGUUGUUCAGCAAAGAAAUGCUCCAGUUUAUGCGAAAGAAGAAUUAUAAGUUUAAGGGUGACUAUAUUGAGGUCGUACUAAACUGGAGGAGAUUGUCAGAUGAGCGUGGUAUUUCUCAGCUGAAGCGGAGCAAAUACAACUAUGAGAUGCUCAACUUCCUAUUGGAUGACUUAAUGCCGUGGCAUAGGAGUUUGAGAGGUGUUAGAGGAAUAUCAAGGGAAACUCUAACGACCACCCUCGAAAGCAGAGAGUGGAUGAGGAGAAGAUGUCUCGGAGAGUAUUCCUCUCGAGCAUCCUCUCGAGCAUCCUCGUGCCACCUCAACCGACGACGUGGAAUGCGUACUUAGGACUUAGGAGCAUGGUGGGAGACCACUUCACCUCCAAGGCAGUAAUGCUUACGUGGCGAAAGAUAUGCAAUGAGUUUAGCAAAAGAAUUGACUUCAAUGCAUAGCCGUUUCUACAAAGGUGAAAUGCAAUCGUUUGAUGUACCUGGCAGCAGCAAGUCAACCUCUAACCCCAGAAAUCAAAGGAGCAGGACUGUGGAACAGCCUGGGAAACUAGCUUCUGAUAGAGCUUCAUUACUUAAAACUGGCCAUGGAUCAAUCCGCAGACAAUUCCAUGCUGUGCCAACAGAUGUACCUCCACCACCCACUGCUACCCUGGUGGAACUUAUCUCAAAUGAACUAAUGUUUAUGUUAUAGCCCCUGGCGGAACUUAUCUCAUCUCAAAUGAACAUGCAUACUAUUAUCAUGCAUACUAUUAUAUCAUGCAUACUAUUAUACAACAGUCAUGCUCCACAUU